rnacentral:rRNA from 1 species
UGAUAUAACGGGGCUCAAGCCGAGCACCGAAGCUAUGGGUGUGUAGCAAUACACGCGGUAGGGGAGCGUUCUGUAGGCCUGCGAAGGUGUGCUGUGAGGCAUGCUGGAGGUAUCAGAAGUGCGAAUGCUGACAUGAGUAACGUUAAAGCGGGUGAAAAACCCGCUCGCCGAAAACCUAAGGUUUCCUGAGCUACGUUAAUCGGCUCAGGGUGAGUCGUAUCCUAAGGUGAGGCCGAAAGGCGUAAUCGAUGGACAUCAGGUUAAUAUUCCUGAACCGAUAAUUACUGCGAUGGGGUGACGGAGAAGGCUAAAGCAGCGGCAGCAGUGCCGUCCAAGCUCGUAGGCGGAUCUUCCUGGCAAAUCCGGAAGGUCAUUCAACGCCGAGAAGUGAGUGCGAGUCGAACCGCAAGGUAAGACGAAGUGUUUGAUGCCCCGCUUCCAGGAAAAGCCUCUAAGCUUCAGGUAAUUAUUGUCCGUACCGUAAACCGACACUGGUGGGUGAGCAGAAAAUCUGCUUAGGCGCUUGAGAGAACUCUGGUUAAGGAACUCUGCAAAUUGAUACCGUAACUUCGGAAGAAGGUAUGCCUUUUUUGGUCACAGGACUUGCUCCUGGAAGCUGAGAGAGGCCACAGGUAAUCGGGGGCUGCGACUGUUUACCAAAAACACAGGACUCUGCGAACACGUAAGUGGAUGUAUAGGGUCUGACGCCUGCCCGGUGCUGGAAGGUUAAUUGAUGGGGUCAGCCGCAAGGCGAAGCUCUUGAUCGAAGCCCCAGUAAACGGCGGCCGUAACAAUAACGGUCCUAAGGUAGCGAAAUUCCUUGUCGGGUAAGUUCCGACCUGCACGAAUGGCGUAACGCUGGCCCCACUGUCUCGACCAGAGACUCAGCGAAGUUGAAAUCGCUGUGAAGAUGCGGCGUAGCUGCGGAAAUACGGAAAGACCCCGUGAACCUUUACUACAGCUUUACACUGAACUUUGAAUUUAUUUGUGUAGGAUAGGUGGGAGCCUAUGAAGCAGGGGCGCUAGCUCUUGUGGAGGCAACCUUGAAAUACCACCCUGAUAACUUCGGAGUUCUAACCUAGAUCCGUAAUCCGGAUUGGGAACACUGUAUGGUGGGUAGUUUGACUGGGGCGGUCUCCUCCCAAAGAGUAACGGAGGAGUGCAAAGGUACCCUCAGCGCGGUCGGUCAUCGCGCUUUUGAGUGCAAUGGCAUAAGGGUGCUUGACUGCGAGACGUACAUGUCGAGCAGGAACGAAAGUUGGUCAUAGUGAUCCGGUGGUUCUGUAUGGAAGGGCCAUCGCUCAACGGAUAAAAGGUACUCCGGGGAUAACC